rnacentral:lncRNA from 1 species
UAGAGGUGGGCUAGAACUAUUAGAGUCCAUUUUUAAUAAUUAAAUAAUAGUAUUUCAAUUGAAUUAUUUAAUUAAAAUGAGAAAAUAGAAUAAUAGGAAAUAAGGAGUAUUAGUAGUAGUUUUAUUAAAACAAAAUUGGAGAUGGUAAGCGCAUGGUGGUAAAUAAUAGAGUAAGUGAGGGUAUUAUUAUAAGUCUUUAAUUGAGGGAUUAUGUUACUAAUAAAAAGGUUAGUAAGGAGUUUUGAGAGUUUUGGAUACAUAAAAUCAGAAUUUGGUGGAAAGUGAAAGAGGCAAGGACUAGGGCAUAUGAAGAGCAUCCGUUGAAAGAGCUUGGAAGAAUUUUUGCUGGCAUGUUCCAA